CGCAGAGGCGCGCGGCGAAGCCGAGUGGGCGCGGGAGUGACGUCACGGCGCGCGACGUGGAGGCGGGGUCGGGCCUGGGUCCGACGGUAGUGGGUAGCGGGUCUCGGGUUGCGGCUUGCAGGUUGCAAGCCGCAGGCCCCAGGCAACUGCCUUCCCGGCGCCAUGUUCGGCUCCAGUCGUGGAGGCGUGCGCGGCGGGCAGGACCAGUUCAACUGGGAGGACGUGAAGACUGACAAGCAGCGGGAGAACUACCUGGGUGGGUGCGCGCGGUGGGCGGGCUCCGGGCUCCGGGAUCCCGGGUGGGCGCUGGACUCACAGCGUCUACGUCCGCAGGCAACUCGCUGAUGGCGCCGGUAGGCCGCUGGCAGAAGGGCCGCGACCUCACCUGGUACGCCAAGGGCCGGGCGCCAUGCGCGGGCCCGAGCCGCGAGGAGGAACUGGCAGCCGUGCGGGAGGCGGAGCGAGAGGCGCUGCUGGCCGCCCUUGGCUACAAGAACGUGAAGAAGCAGCCCACGGGCCUGAGCAAGGAGGUAACUCCCCGGGGUUGGGGGCGCGUGGAGGGCCGUGGGUGUGGGGCCGACCCGAGCGCUCCCUGUGCUCUCGCACCUGCAGGACUUCGCGGAGGUCUGCAAGCGGGAAGGAGGCGACCCCGAGGAGAAGGGCGUGGACCGGCUGCUGGGGCUGGGGAGCGCCAGGUGCGGGCGGGUUUCCAGGGGAGGGCAGCACUGGGCUCGAUUGCUCGGGUGAGGCGGACCCCUGCCGUACUGUCUUCAUCGCCAUGUCCCUGCAGUGGCUCCGUGGGCCGCGUGGCGAUGUCCCGAGAGGACAAGGAGGCCGCCAAACUGGGGCUGUCUGUAUUCACGGUAAUCCCCCGCCCCGCCUGACCGCAGCAGGGGCCAACAGGGGUGGGGCGGGGGCACUAAACG
rnacentral:sRNA from 1 species